CUUCGGGGUGUGACUGCGUACCUUUUGUAUAAUGGGUCAGCGACUUAUAUUCUGUAGCAAGGUUAACCGUAUAGGGGAGCCGUAGGGAAACCGAGUCUUAACCGGGCGUUAAGUUGCAGGGUAUAGACCCGAAACCCGGUGAUCUAGCCAUGGGCAGGUUGAAGGUUGGGUAACACUAACUGGAGGACCGAACCGACUAAUGUUGAAAAAUUAGCGGAUGACCUGUGGCUGGGGGUGAAAGGCCAAUCAAACCGGGAGAUAGCUGGUUCUCCCCGAAAGCUAUUUAGGUAGCGCCUCGUGAAUUCAUCUCCGGGGGUAGAGCACUGUUUCGGCUAGGGGGCCAUCCCGGCUUACCAACCCGAUGCAAACUGCGAAUACCGGAGAAUGUUAUCACGGGAGACACACGGCGGGUGCUAACGUCCGUCGUGAAGAGGGAAACAACCCAGACCGCCAGCUAAGGUCCCAAAGUCAUGGUUAAGUGGGAAACGAUGUGGGAAGGCCCAGACAGCCAGGAUGUUGGCUUAGAAGCAGCCAUCAUUUAAAGAAAGCGUAAUAGCUCACUGGUCGAGUCGGCCUGCGCGGAAGAUGUAACGGGGCUAAACCAUGCACCGAAGCUGCGGCAGCGACACUCAGGUGUUGUUGGGUAGGGGAGCGUUCUGUAAGCCUGUGAAGGUGGCCUGUGAGGGUUGCUGGAGGUAUCAGAAGUGCGAAUGCUGACAUAAGUAACGAUAAAGCGGGUGAAAAGCCCGCUCGCCGGAAGACCAAGGGUUCCUGUCCAACGUUAAUCGGGGCAGGGUGAGUCGACCCCUAAGGCGAGGCCGAAAGGCGUAGUCGAUGGGAAACGGGUUAAUAUUCCCGUACUUGGUGUUACUGCGAAGGGGGGACGGAGAAGGCUAUGUUGGCCGGGCGACGGUUGUCCCGGUUUAAGCGUGUAGGUGUGUGUUCCAGGUAAAUCCGGUUCACUUUAACACUGAGGCGUGACGACGAGGCACUACGGUGCUGAAGCAACAAAUGCCCUGCUUCCAGGAAAAGCCUCUAAGCAUCAGGUAACAUCAAAUCGUACCCCAAACCGACACAGGUGGUCAGGUAGAGAAUACCAAGGCGCUUGAGAGAACUCGGGUGAAGGAACUAGGCAAAAUGGUGCCGUAACUUCGGGAGAAGGCACGCUGACACGUAGGUGAAGUGAUUUACUCAUGGAGCUGAAGUCAGUCGAAGAUACCAGCUGGCUGCAACUGUUUAUUAAAAACACAGCACUGUGCAAACACGAAAGUGGACGUAUACGGUGUGACGCCUGCCCGGUGCCGGAAGGUUAAUUGAUGGGGUCAGCGCAAGCGAAGCUCCUGAUCGAAGCCCCGGUAAACGGCGGCCGUAACUAUAACGGUCCUAAGGUAGCGAAAUUCCUUGUCGGGUAAGUUCCGACCUGCACGAAUGGCGUAAUGAUGGCCAGGCUGUCUCCACCCGAGACUCAGUGAAAUUGAACUCGCUGUGAAGAUGCAGUGUACCCGCGGCAAGACGGAAAGACCCCGUGAACCUUUACUAUAGCUUGACACUGAACAUUGAGCCUUGAUGUGUAGGAUAGGUGGGAGGCUUUGAAGUGUGGACGCCAGUCUGCAUGGAGCCGACCUUGAAAUACCACCCUUUAAUGUUUGAUGUUCUAACGUGGACCCGUAAUCCGGGUUGCGGACAGUGUCUGGUGGGUAGUUUGACUGGGGCGGUCUCCUCCUAAAGAGUAACGGAGGAGCACGAAGGUUGGCUAAUCCUGGUCGGACAUCAGGAGGUUAGUGCAAUGGCAUAAGCCAGCUUGACUGCGAGCGUGACGGCGCGAGCAGGUGCGAAAGCAGGUCAUAGUGAUCCGGUGGUUCUGAAUGGAAGGGCCAUCGCUCAACGGAUAAAAGGUACUCCGGGGAUAACAGGCUGAUACCGCCCAAGAGUUCAUAUCGACGGCGGUGUUUGGCACCUCGAUGUCGGCUCAUCACAUCCUGGGGCUGAAGUAGGUCCCAAGGGUAUGGCUGUUCGCCAUUUAAAGUGGUACGCGAGCUGGGUUUAGAACGUCGUGAGACAGUUCGGUCCCUAUCUGCCGUGGGCGCUGGAGAACUGAGGGGGGCUGCUCCUAGUACGAGAGGACCGGAGUGGACGCAUCACUGGUGUUCGGGUUGUCAUGCCAAUGGCACUGCCCGGUAGCUAAAUGCGGAAGAGAUAAGUGCUGAAAGCAUCUAAGCACGAAACUUGCCCCGA
rnacentral:rRNA from 1 species